AAAAUUUACCCGGUAAAUAUUAUGAUUUAAAUAAUUAAUCCUAAUAUUAAACAAAAAGUCAAUAAAAGCUUUUAAAGAAAUAAAAUGGAUAAAAGGCCCGGGUUAACGGGACCUAAAAUAAACUUAGUUAUAAAUAUUCCCGAACCCGCUAAGUUAACUAGGAAUAUUAAACCUGGUUAAUAAGCAGGAAUAUUAUUGAAAGUAAUUAGGUUAUGACCUAAUUAAUAACUAACCAAACACGAGGGACCAAAGCCGGGUAACUUGAAAAUGGAAUUAUAAACUUAAAAUAUAACACAACACACACACUUGAGGUGUGUGUGCGUGCGUGAAGUAGUCCAGGAGAAGGAGCAAGAAGCUCCAAACCCUAGCUCAAACAAUCUCAACAAAUUGAAGGGGCAAAUCAAGUCCAAAUCAAAAUCUGAGUAUGAAUUAGUGAUCUCCAUUGAAAAAGAAGUCACGAGGUAUGUAAAUUUCUUGAGAAAUCUCUAGUUGAAAUUCCGAGCAAACCUAGGGAAUUCGAAUCUGAGCUUGCAUGUUUGUUGUUUGGAUGAAACUAUGUCUAGUAGUAAACCCUAGCCAUGUAUUUGUUGAAUUGAUGUUCAUGGUUGUGAAUUCAUGAUCAUACACUCAUGUGUCAAGUGGGUUUUGAUUAUGUAGUAAAGAUGAUGAUGUACACAUGUUUAAAAUCAUCAUAGUUGCUAGUAGAAACAAGAUACUUGAACAAUUUGCAAGUUGGGUGUUGAACAUACGUGACUUGAAAUGGUUUUUUUUGGAUAAUUAAAUGAAAUUGAUGUCCUAUUGGUGUUUAUAAACAUCAUACUAAUUCAUAUGAAUGAACUACUUGAACAAAUUAGAGAUUUUGUUAAGAGUUCAUAAGUGACUAGAAGUGGGUCUUGACAUAAGAGUUAAAACCAUGAUUUUUGAUGGUCAAAGUGUGUAUAUGCUUAUAAUAACUGAAAUUUACAUGUUAAUUUAUUACUACUUGAGGUAGGAAUUGGAUGACAUGUUAGUUAAUUUGGCGCCUCAAAAGAUGAUGCUCACUAAGUGUUGAUAAUAUGCCUAAUUGAGUCUUGUGAACUUGAUAGUGCAAUCAUAUGUGAUAAUUGGCGAUUUGACUUUAAAAAGUCAAACCGACCUACAAUGUGAUGAAUACAAAUUUUUAUACGAAAAACGUAAGGUGGGAAUAGUCAUGAUUUAUAAUGACUAAACUAACCAUCUUACGAAUUAUGAUUAUAGUUUGACGCUUAACAAGCUAGGUAGAGGCUUGUGGAGGAAGCGGGUCAAACAGAUCGAGUACAAAAGGAAAGCGUGGCUUAGAUGCAAGGUACACUUUGGAUGCCGGAAGAUGAUUAAGCUCAACGAAGAACCGAACACGAUAUAGAUACAUGCUUCCGCACCUUGCUUCGUCGUAAACUUAAACGACGAAUCCGAUCACGUUAUGUUUAAUAACUUAUGAAUUGUAAAAGUUUUAAUAAACCCGUAUUUCCGAUGUGUAUGUAAUCUUAAAUUACAUGAUUGUUUUACGUAAAUUAUACGUUAGACCUUGAAUUAUAGGAAACGGGUGUUAUAACUUUUCCAUUUAGAGGAUUUAUCAAAAGCGCAACUUAAGAUUAGAUGUAUGAAAUUAGUUGAAGCCUGUUUUAAGUUUUCAAUUAUGUAUUAACCUUUUGUUUUAAUCUUGUUAUU
rnacentral:lncRNA from 1 species